AGAGUUUGAUCCUGGCUCAGGACGAACGCUGGCGGCACGCUUAACACAUGCAAGUCGAACGAGAGAAGAGGAGCUUGCUUUUCUGAUCUAGUGGCGGACGGGUGAGUAACACGUGAGCAAUCUGCCUUUCAGAGGGGGAUACCGAUUGGAAACGAUCGUUAAUACCGCAUAACAUAAUUGAACCGCAUGAUUUGAUUAUCAAAGAUUUAUCGCUGAAAGAUGAGCUCGCGUCUGAUUAGCUAGUUGGUAAGGUAACGGCUUACCAAGGCGACGAUCAGUAGCCGGACUGAGAGGUUGAUCGGCCACAUUGGGACUGAGACACGGCCCAGACUCCUACGGGAGGCAGCAGUGGGGAAUAUUGCACAAUGGAGGAAACUCUGAUGCAGCGAUGCCGCGUGAGGGAAGAAGGUUUUAGGAUUGUAAACCUCUGACUUCAGGGACGAAAAAAGACGGUACCUGAGGAGGAAGCUCCGGCUAACUACGUGCCAGCAGCCGCGGUAAUACGUAGGGAGCGAGCGUUGUCCGGAAUUACUGGGUGUAAAGGGAGCGUAGGCGGGAUCGCAAGUCAGAUGUGAAAACUAUGGGCUUAACCCAUAAACUGCAUUUGAAACUGUGGUUCUUGAGUGAAGUAGAGGUAAGCGGAAUUCCUAGUGUAGCGGUGAAAUGCGUAGAUAUUAGGAGGAACAUCAGUGGCGAAGGCGGCUUGCUGGGCUUUAACUGACGCUGAGGCUCGAAAGCGUGGGGAGCAAACAGGAUUAGAUACCCUGGUAGUCCACGCCGUAAACGAUGAUUACUAGGUGUGGGGGGACUGACCCCUUCCGUGCCGCAGCAAACGCAAUAAGUAAUCCACCUGGGGAGUACGACCGCAAGGUUGAAACUCAAAGGAAUUGACGGGGGCCCGCACAAGCAGUGGAGUAUGUGGAUUAAUUCGAAGCAACGCGAAGAACCUUACCAGGUCUUGACAUCGUAUGCAUAGCUCAGAGAUGAGUGAAAUCUCUUCGGAGACAUAUAGACAGGUGGUGCAUGGUUGUCGUCAGCUCGUGUCGUGAGAUGUUGGGUUAAGUCCCGCAACGAGCGCAACCCUUACUGUUAGUUGCUACGCAAGAGCACUCUAGCAGGACUGCCGUUGACAAAACGGAGGAAGGUGGGGAUGACGUCAAAUCAUCAUGCCCCUUAUGACCUGGGCCUCACACGUACUACAAUGGCUGUCAACAGAGGGAAGCAAAGCCGCGAGGUGGAGCGAACCCCUAAAAGCAGUCUUAGUUCGGAUUGUAGGCUGCAACCCGCCUACAUGAAGUCGGAAUUGCUAGUAAUCGCAGAUCAGCAUGCUGCGGUGAAUACGUUCCCGGGCCUUGUACACACCGCCCGUCACGCCAUGGGAGUCGGUAACACCCGAAGCCUGUAGUCUAACCGCAAGGAGGACGCAGUCGAAGGUGGGAUUGAUGACUGGGGUGAAGUCGUAACAAGGUA
rnacentral:rRNA from 1 species